UGAACCAGUGAUGAAAACUGGUGGCAUAGAAGUCAAGGAUGCUGAAUAAUGUGUGUCCAGAUCUCUGAGGUUCCA
rfam:Callithrix jacchus chromosome 10, whole genome shotgun sequence